GCGAACGGGUGAGUAAUACAUCGGAACGUACCCCGUAGUGGGGGAUAACCCAGCGAAAGCUGGGCUAAUACCGCAUAUUCCACGGGAAAGUGGCGCUAUGGGAGCGGCCGAUGUCCGAUUAGCUAGUUGGUGAGGUAAAGGCUCACCAAGGCGACGAUCGGUAGCUGGUCUGAGAGGAUGAUCAGCCACACUGGGACUGAGACACGGCCCAGACUCCUACGGGAGGCAGCAGUGGGGAAUUUUGGACAAUGGGGGAAACCCUGAUCCAGCCAUGCCGCGUGCGGGAAGAAGGCCUUCGGGUUGUAAACCGCUUUUGUCUGGGAAGAAUGACGGUACCGGAAGAAUAAGCACCGGCUAACUACGUGCCAGCAGCCGCGGUAAUACGUAGGGUGCGAGCGUUAAUCGGAAUUACUGGGCGUAAAGCGUGCGCAGGCGGUCCGUUAAGUCUGAUGUGAAAGCCCCGGGCUCA
rnacentral:rRNA from 1 species